rnacentral:rRNA from 1 species
UACGGGGGGGGCAAGCGUUGUUCGGAAUUACUGGGCGUAAAGGGCUCGUAGGCGGCCAACUAAGUCAGACGUGAAAUCCCCGGGCUCAACCUGGGAACUGCAUCUGUGACUGCAUUGCUGGAGUGCGGCAGAGGGGGAUGGAAUUCCGCGUGUAGCAGUGAAAUGCGUAGAUAUGCGGAGGAACACCGAUGGCGAAGGCAAUCCCCUGGGCCUGCACUGACGCUCAUGCACGAAAGCGUGGGGAGCAAACAGG